CCAUUAACCAUAAUAUUAAAUUUUAAAAAAGGAAUAUUAUUCUAAGAGCAAGCAUUUACAUGUGAAAGCACAUGUAAAACGACAUAAAAUUAAAGUUGUAAAAAAUGAUAUUGUUAGAAAACAUAUAAAACAAAGUAAAAAAUGAUUUUGUAAUCUAAUUCCAAAGGAGGGGCUAACAUGGUUUAAAAGAAUCAAUGUUUGAGAUUUGAGCUUAUUUUGUUAAUAAUUUCCAUAAGGGUCUGUUUUGGUCAAAUUCAUAAAGUGUAGGGGCUGAAUUGGUCGAUUAGACCAAAAAUUGAAAUUGGGGGAAAAGGGGUCAGGUCUCCGUUUUCUUCAAUUUGAGAAAAAGAAACAACCGAUCGAAGAAAGGGUUCCGAUGGCCUUCGAUCGGUAAAAGAAGCAGGGGGAGGAUCUCUGGGGUUUCACUGGACCGAAGGAAGGAGAAGAACGAAGAAUGAAGUUGUUGUCGAUUCUUGGUGGGUGAAGGUUUGAGGAUGUGAGCACCUCUGAUGUUCAAAUUGUCUGCAGAAAAGGGAAGAAGCAGGGAGCCUACUUCUUUUUUGCUCUUGCAGUAAGAUGUGAAGGAGGAUGGGGGAAGGUGGGCUUCGAGAGAGAGAGGGGGGAAAGGUCUUUGGUCCUCAGUUGGUCCGAGAAGAAGAAAUACAAUUGAAGGUAGGAAGUGGGUCGGUGGUGGUAAUCUAUCGCAAAUAGGGAGAAGUCGAAAUACUGCGACCUCCUUAUGGUUGCUCUCUUCGUCAGCAGUAGUAAACAGAUGGGGUAAGGACGAAACACUGAGGCUGCUCUUCUUCUACUCCUGUUAGUGUGGUGCGAAGGAGAAGAAAUGUUGGUGGAGGUUUUUUCGACUGAAAGUGACGAAGAAAGAAGGUGUGUAUGUAAUGCUCACCGAGAACAGCCAUCUACAAUGGUGUUUGGCUUGCUUCGAUCAACAGCAAAGAGGCUGCUGCCUCCUUAAUUUUAUAGAAAAAAAAAAUAACAACUUGUGGGGUGUUUCUUGGCAGUUCACGAAGCAGAAAAACAAAAGAGAUACGAGAGAUAGUUUGGCUAUUUGUUUUGGUUGAAUAAAGGUGAAGGAUUUCUGCGAAUAUGGCUGAUUAUUUGUGUUUCUAAUAUGUGUGUACUUUUGGUUGAUCAUUGAAGCAAUACCUUUGACAAGAUCUUAUGCAGACUUUUGAGUGUGAGGGAAGCUUUUGAGUGUAAAAUUGUAUAUUAUAUGAUCUUCUUCCCUUUUUAAGUAGAUUUUACAUGAUUUGAUUGUAUGCCUUUAUGCAGUUUUGUUUUGUCAGGGCUUGUAGAGGCUACAGCUCUUCCAUAUCUUGGUAUUCAAAUCGGAGAAUGAAGUGUUGAUGAGAAGGCAUAAAUAAUCUUUUUUGCUCAGCUUCACAAUAGCUAUUUUACUUGCAACACUUUAUAGUGUCACCAACAGAAGUGGACAAAAAUACUUGUAUAGCUAUUGUAAUUAAUUAAUUAUCACUUUAUCA